ACGGGAGGCAGCAGUGGGGAAUAUUGGUCAAUGGGCGCAAGCCUGACCCAGCAACGCCGCGUGAAGGAUGAAGGUCUUCGGAUUGUAAACUUCUUUGAUUGGGGAAGAAUAAAUGACCUACCCAAAGAACAAGUCACGGCUAACUACGUGCCAGCAGCCGCGGUAAUACGUAGGUGACAAGCGUUAUCCGGAUUUACUGGGUGUAAAGGGCGUGUAGGCGGUUCUGUAAGUCAGAAGUGAAAUUCCCGGGCUCAAACUGGGCCAUGCUACUGAAACUACAGAACUUGAGUACAGGAGGGGAAAGCGGAAUACCUAGUGUAGCGGUAAAAUGCACAGAUAUUAGGAGGAACACCGGUGGCGAAGGCGGCUUUCUGGACAGUAACUGACGCUGAGGCGCGAAAGCGUGGGGAGCAAACAGGAUUAGAUACCCUGGUA
rnacentral:rRNA from 1 species